CAAGAACUUUCCUACAAAGUGUCUGUGACGGAUUGAAUUAUUUUUCUCAACUUGUUACUCCCUUCUUUCCAUACGAGGAUUACAUAUCCCUUUCCCAUUGGCAUUGGUGACUUAUUUUGGCCGAUGAAAUGGGAGUGUAUGUGAUACACUCCUCAUACAUAGACGGAGUUUCGCUCUUGUUGCCCAAGCUGGACUGCAGUGGCGCGAGCCUGGCUCACUGCAAACUCUGCCUUCCGGUUUCAAGCGAUUCUCCUGCCUCAGCCUCCGGAGUAGCUGGGACUACAGGCACACACCACGCCCAGAGAAAAACAGAUCUUCAACAGUUUUUUGAUGGAAAUAAACAAUUUCAAGUUGAGACAACACAUCAGCUUCAUGCAUUCCUUCAGCUUGAAGUCAACUGGGCCUGGGUUGAAUCUGGUUCUGUUUUGUUGUUGUUUCAUUUUGUUUUUUAGCAUUUGACUAUGUACAGUCUCUAUUUCUAAGUCUUGAUUUCCUCAUUUAUAAAACAAAGCAACUAAAUGAUAUCAAAUACCCUUGUUUUGAAAAUCAAAGAAUAAGCACGGCACCCAAGACAACUUUUUGUAUCACAGGCACACAUGAAUGCUUUUUUCCUUUUCCUUUUCUUAUCAUAAAAACCUAUAUUUUAUGACUUUUACAUUUAUUCCUAGAUGCUCUCAUAUGCAUUAUCUCAUUUUUACAAUAACAUUAUAAAUAUAAACACUGUUAUGCUAUUUUACAGAUGAGAGACUUGAAGCACAGAAGGCUAAAACUACCUUUAACUUCUAAAGAAAUUUUGUGAGAAGCAUCUGAGACUCUUGACAGUUAAAAUCCCUAU
rnacentral:lncRNA from 1 species